UCAACCCUCAAGCCCCUUUGGCUUGGUGUUGGAGACUGGCGGGGCGCAUGCGCCCGGAGCCACUCCCAAAUACAAUGACGGCGGCGACGAUGACCCCCGGCACACUGAGCUUCUCACCGAGCACGUGCUGGAAGGGUCUUGUGGCCACGGUCUGCCUCCCCUCUGGGAGAAACGGAUUUCAUCCACCAA
rnacentral:misc_RNA from 1 species